rnacentral:tRNA from 1 species
CCUCGGAUGGUGAAACGCAGACACGGCGACCUUAGAAUUCGCUGCCCCAUGGGGGCGUGCCGGUUCGAGUCCGCCUGCGGGAACAA